CAGCCGUAAACAAAUGUGCGUUAGGUGUGUCGGUAACCACGUGUCUGGUGCCGCAGGGAAGCCGUGAAGCGAGCCACCUGGGAAGUACGGCCGCAAGGCUGAAACUUAAAGGAAUUGGCGGGGGAGCACAACAACGGGUGGAGCCUGCGGUUUAAUUGGACUCAACGCCGGGAAGCUCACCGGAUAAGACAGCGGAAUGAUUGCCGGGCUGAAGACUCUGCAUGACUAGCUGAGAGGAGGUGCAUGGCGUAGACGUCU
rnacentral:rRNA from 1 species